rnacentral:rRNA from 1 species
AGUCAUAUGCUUGUCUCAAAGAUUUAACCAUGCAUGUCUAAGUAUAAACAAUUCUAUACUGUGAAACUGCGAAUGGCUCAUUAAAUCAGUUAUAGUUUAUUUGAUAAUAUCUACUACUCGGAUAACCGUGGUAAUUCUAGAGCUAAUACGUGCGUAAAAACCCGACUCACGAAGGGUUGUAUUUAUUAGAUACAAAACCAAUGCAGCGCAAGCUGGUUUUUUGGUGAUUCAUAAUAACUUCUCGGAUCGCAUGGCUCACGCCGGCGACGUUUCAUUCAAAUUUCUGCCCUAUCAACUUUCGAUGGUAAGGUAUUGGCUUACCAUGGUUACAACGGGUAAC